ACCCUCUGGAUGCAAUCCUGUGCCAUGUGCUCUAGGAUGACCCUGCUUGAGCAGGGUGGUUGGACUAGAUGACCCUCUGUGGUCCUUUCCAACGUGACCGAUCCUGUGACUCUGUAAGGCUAAUGU